rnacentral:rRNA from 1 species
GUGGGGAAUUUUGGACAAUGGGCGCAAGCCUGAUCCAGCCAUGCCGCGUGUGUGAAGAAGGUCUUCGGAUUGUAAAGCACUUUAAGUUGGGAGGAAGGGCAGUAAGUUAAUACCUUGCUGUUUUGACGUUACCGACAGAAUAAGCACCGGCUAACUUCGUGCCAGCAGCCGCGGUAAUACGAAGGGUGCAAGCGUUAAUCGGAAUUACUGGGCGUAAAGCGCGCGUAGGUGGUUUUGUAAGUUGGAGGUGAAAUCCCCGGGCUCAACCUGGGAACUGCCUCCAAAACUGCAUGACUAGAGUACGGUAGAGGGUAGUGGAAUUUCCUGUGUAGCGGUGAAAUGCGUAGAUAUAGGAAGGAACACCAGUGGCGAAGGCGACUACCUGGACUGAUACUGACACUGAGGUGCGAAAGCGUGGGGAGCAAACAGGAUUAGAUACCCUUGUAGUCC